rnacentral:rRNA from 1 species
CCUACGGGUGGCAGCAGUAGGGAAUUUUGCGCAAUGGGCGAAAGCCUGACGCAGCAACGCCGCGUGAUCGAGACGCCCUUCGGGGUGUAAAGAUCUGUCAGUGGGGACGAAACUUGACGGUACCUGCAAAGGAAGCACCGGCUAACUCCGUGCCAGCAGCCGCGGUAACACGGAGGGUGCGAGCGUUAAUCGGAAUUACUGGGCGUAAAGCGCUCGUAGGCGGUAUGUCAAGUCAAGGGUGAAAUCCCCGCGCUCAACGUGGGAACUGCCUUUGAAACUGGCAAACUGGAGUGUGUGAGAGGAUAGUGGAAUUCCAGGUGUAGGAGUGAAAUGCGUAGAUAUCUGGAAGAACAUCAGUGGCGAAGGCGACUAUCUGGCACAUAACUGACGCUGAGGAGCGAAAGCGUGGGUAGCAAACAGGAUUAGAUACCCCAGUAGUC